rnacentral:rRNA from 1 species
AUACGUAGGGGGCGAGCGUUGUCCGGAAUGAUUGGGCGUAAAGGGCGCGUAGGCGGCUUGUUAAGUCUGGAGUGGAAGUCCUCUUUUCAAGGGAGGAAUUGCUUUGGAAACUGGCGGGCUUGAGUGCCGGAGAGGUUAUCGGAAUGCCCGGUGUAGCGGUGAAAUGCGUAGAGAUCGGGAGGAACACCAGUGGCGAAGGCGGGUAACUGGACUGCAACUGACGCUGAGGCGCGAAAGUGUGGGGAGCAAACAGGAUUAGAUACCCUGGUAGUCCACACUGUAAACGAUGAGUGCUAGGUGUAGGAGGUAUCGACCCCUUCUGUGCCGGAGUAAACGCAAUAAGCACUCCGCCUGGGGAGUACGGUCGCAAGAUUAAAACUUAAAGGAAUUGACGGGG